rnacentral:rRNA from 1 species
AGUGAACGCUGGCGGUAGGCCUAACACAUGCAAGUCGAACGGCAGCACAGUAAGAGCUUGCUCUUACGGGUGGCGAGUGGCGGACGGGUGAGGAAUACAUCGGAAUCUACUUUUUCGUGGGGGAUAACGUAAGGAAACUUACGCUAAUACCGCAUACGACCUACGGGUGAAAGCAGGGGAUCUUCGGACCUUGCGCGAUUGAAUGAGCCGAUGUCGGAUUAGCUAGUUGGCGGGGUAAAGGCCCACCAAGGCGACGAUCCGUAGCUGGUCUGAGAGGAUGAUCAGCCACACUGGAACUGAGACACGGUCCAGACUCCUACGGGAGGCAGCAGUGGGGAAUAUUGGACAAUGGGCGCAAGCCUGAUCCAGCCAUACCGCGUGGGUGGAGAAGGCCUUCGGGUUGUAAAGCCCUUUUGUUGGGAAAGAAAAGCAGCAGGUUAAUACCCCGCUGUUCUGACGGUACCCAAAGAAUAAGCACCGGCUAACUUCGUG